GUGGCUGCUCUGGAGUCCGUAUCCGCAGGACGUGGCCUCAUCACUACAACCGGUUCUUUGGGCGAACUCAACAUCUCAUCCAACUUCUCUAGAAGCUGACUGACUGACCUUUGACCCUCUCUCCUCGGUUGAGUGUGAUCUCACCCUCGCCCUGUGGACUGUGGGAGCUGAUAGCGAUGAAGGUUCGGCCGGGCACCGCACUGUACAGCCGUCGCUUGGGCCCUCGAGACACAGCAGGAGGACUCGGCUCUCUCUGUACAGGACUGCCAGGGCUGCAAACACAUGUGCAGAAAUUAUUAACAACCAGCUCUGAGGAUGAUAUAAUCUUUUAUGUCAGGCUGGACUCGAAUCUGCAUCACCCAUAUGAGCACCAAAGUGACUGGAGUGCAUAAGCUAACUGCUGCGCCGUGGCUCUGACUAGUCCAGAGGAUGAAAAUAAGGACCAUAAUAGAGGUGUAAAAUACAAAAGCUCAAUGUCAAAGUACCCCUGUCGGACAUAACCAUUGACAGAAAGCAGGGAGUUACGCUUGAUGCUGGAAAAGACUGUCAGAAGAGCAAG